rnacentral:rRNA from 1 species
UGCCAGCCGCCGCGGUAAUACGAAGGGGGCUAGCGUUGUUCGGAAUUACUGGGCGUAAAGCGCACGUAGGCGGACUUUUAAGUCAGAUGUGAAAUCCCGGGGCUCAACCUCGGAACUGCAUUUGAAACUGGAAGUCUGGAGUUCAGGAGAGGUUAGCGGAAUACCGAGUGUAGAGGUGAAAUUCGUAGAGAUUGGAAGGAACAUCAGUGGCGAAGGCGGCCACCUGGACUGAUACUGACGCUGAGGUGCGAAAGCGUGGGGAGCAAACAGGAUUAGAUA